rnacentral:rRNA from 1 species
GAUGAACGCUGGCGGUAUGCUUAACACAUGCAAGUCGAACGGACUCUUCGGAGUUAGUGGCGGACGGGUGAGUAACGCGUGAGAAUCUGGCUUUGGGUUCGGGACAACCACUGGAAACGGUGGCUAAUACCGGAUGUGCCGAGAGGUAAAAGAGAAAUUGCCUGAAGAUGAGCUCGCGUCUGAUUAGCUAGUUGGUGAGGUAAAGGCUCACCAAGGCAGCGAUCAGUAGCUGGUCUGAGAGGAUGACCAGCCACACUGGGACUGAGACACGGCCCAGACUCCUACGGGAGGGAGCAGUGGGGAAUUUUCCGCAAUGGGCGAAAGUCUGACGGAGCAAUACCGCGUGAGGGAAGAAGGCUCUUGGGUUGUAAACCUCUUUUCUUAGGGAAGAACAAAAUGACGGUACCUAAGGAAUCAGCAUCGGCUAACUCCGUG